rnacentral:rRNA from 1 species
ACUAAUGGUAUACUUAGUACGGCGAGUGAGCGGUAAAAGCUCAAAUUUGAAAUCUGGUACUUUCAGUGCCCGAGUUGUAAUUUGUAGAAUUUGUCUUUGAUUAGGUCCUUGUCUAUGUUCCUUGGAACAGGACGUCAUAGAGGGUGAGAAUCCCGUUUGGCGAGGAUACCUUUUCUCUGUAAGACUUUUUCGAAGAGUCGAGUUGUUUGGGAAUGCAGCUCAAAGUGGGUGGUAAAUUCCAUCUAAAGCUAAAUAUUGGCGAGAGACCGAUAGCGAACAAGUACAGUGAUGGAAAGAUGAAAAGAACUUUGAAAAGAGAGUGAAAAAGUACGUGAAAUUGUUGAAAGGGAAGGGCAUUUGAUCAGACAUGGUGUUUUUUGCAUGCACUCGCCUCUCGUGGGCUUGGGCCUCUCAAAAAUUUCACUGGGCCAACAUCAAUUCUGGCAGCAGGAUAAAUCAUUAAGAAUGUAGCUACUUCGGUAGUGUUAUAGCUUUUUGGAAUACUGUUAGCCGGGAUUGAGGACUGCGCUUCGGCAAGGAUGUUGGCAUAAUGGUUAAAUGCCGCCCGUCUUGAACCCACGGGACCA